UGGGGGUCUUCUGGAUCAAAAUGGCAAGAUUAAUACAUUCAUCUCAUUCUUUUUAUUAAAUUACUUAAAUUAUUGUAUUCAUGAGCAAGAACACAAACUAAACUUUUCACUCUUUUCUGUUUUAGACAUUUUAAAAAGGGAGAAAGAGAGUCUGGAAGAAGAUUGCGAAGAACUUCAACAGGACCGGAAUAUUUUAAAAAGCGAGAAGAAUAAACUGGGAAAAGAAAAAGAGGAUCUAAAAAGAGAGAACGAGAGACUGGGAAAAGAAAAUGGGGGACUUCUGGAGCAAAAUGGCAAGAUUAAUACAUUCAUCUCAUUCUUUUUAUUAAAUUACUUAAAUUAUUGUAUUCAUGAGCAAGAACACAAACUAAACUUUCAUUUUUUCUGUUUUAGACAUUUUAAAAAGGGAGAAAGAGAGA